UGCCAGCCGCCGCGGUAAUACGGAGGGUGCAAGCGUUAACCGGAUUUACUGGGCGUAAAGAGCGCGUAGGCUGGGGGAUAAGUCAGAUGUGAAAUUUCGGUACACAAUACCGAAGCUGCAUUUGAAACUGUCUCUCUAGAGGAUAGGUGGAGAAAGCGGAAUUCCGUAUGUAGCGGUGGAAUGCGUAGAUAUACGGAAGAACACCCGUGGCGAAAGCGGCUUUCUAACUUAUUCCUGACGCUGAGGCGCGAAAGCAAGGGGAGCGAACAGGAUUAGAUA
rnacentral:rRNA from 1 species